GAUGAACGCUGGCGGCGUGCCUAAUCCAUGCAAGUAGAACGAAGCGGGGAAGGGGGAGUAACACGUGGAGAAAAUCCUAUAAGACUGGGAUAAAUUCGGGAAACCGGAGCUAAAACGGAUGCUUAUAGAUGGAUCGGCGCUGCAUUAGCUAGUUGUUAAGGUAACGGCUUACAAAGGCAACGAUGACUAGCCGAACUGAGAGGGUGAUCGGCCACGCUGGAACGGAGACACGGUCCAGACUCCUACGGGAGGCAGCAGGAGGGAAGCUUCCCCAAUGGGCGAAAGCCUGACGUAGCAACGCCGCGUGAGUGAGGAAGUUCUUCGGAUCGUAAAACUCUGUUAUUAGGGAAGCGGUACCUAAUCAGAAAGCCACGGCGAACUACGUGCCAGCAGCCGCGGUAAUAC
rnacentral:rRNA from 1 species